GACUAACGCUGGCGGCGCGCCUAACACAUGCAAGUCGAACGAGAGAUGAGGAGCUUGCUCUUCAAAUCGAGUGGCGAACGGGUGAGUAACGCGUGAGGAACCUGCCUCAAAGAGGGGGACAACAGUUGGAAACGACUGCUAAUACCGCAUAAGCCCACGGCUCGGCAUCGAGCAGAGGGAAAAGGAGCAAUCCGCUUUGAGAUGGCCUCGCGUCCGAUUAGCUAGUUGGUGAGGUAACGGCCCACCAAGGCGACGAUCGGUAGCCGGACUGAGAGGUUGAACGGCCACAUUGGGACUGAGACACGGCCCAGACUCCUACGGGAGGCAGCAGUGGGGAAUAUUGCACAAUGGGGGAAACCCUGAUGCAGCGACGCCGCGUGGAGGAAGAAGGUCUUCGGAUUGUAAACUCCUGUUGUUGAGGAAGAUAAUGACGGUACUCAACAAGGAAGUGACGGCUAACUACGUGCCAGCAGCCGCGGUAAAACGUAGGUCACAAGCGUUGUCCGGAAUUACUGGGUGUAAAGGGAGCGCAGGCGGGAGAACAAGUUGGAAGUGAAAUCCAUGGGCUCAACCCAUGAACUGCUUUCAAAACUGUUUUUCUUGAGUAGUGCAGAGGUAGGCGGAAUUCCCGGUGUAGCGGUGGAAUGCGUAGAUAUCGGGAGGAACACCAGUGGCGAAGGCGGCCUACUGGGCACCAACUGACGCUGAGGCUCGAAAGUGUGGGUAGCAAACAGGAUUAGAUACCCUGGUAGUCCACACCGUAAACGAUGAUUACUAGGUGUUGGAGGAUUGACCCCUUCAGUGCCGCAGUUAACACAAUAAGUAAUCCACCUGGGGAGUACGACCGCAAGGUUGAAACUCAAAGGAAUUGACGGGGGCCCGCACAAGCAGUGGAGUAUGUGGUUUAAUUCGACGCAACGCGAAGAACCUUACCAAGUCUUGACAUCCUGCGACGCACAUAGAAAUAUGUGUUUCCUUCGGGACGCAGAGACAGGUGGUGCAUGGUUGUCGUCAGCUCGUGUCGUGAGAUGUUGGGUUAAGUCCCGCAACGAGCGCAACCCUUAUGGUCAGUUACUACGCAAGAGGACUCUGGCCAGACUGCCGUUGACAAAACGGAGGAAGGUGGGGAUGACGUCAAAUCAUCAUGCCCUUUAUGACUUGGGCUACACACGUACUACAAUGGCGUUAAACAAAGAGAAGCAAGACCGCGAGGUGGAGCAAAACUCAGAAACAACGUCCCAGUUCGGACUGCAGGCUGCAACUCGCCUGCACGAAGUCGGAAUUGCUAGUAAUCGUGGAUCAGCAUGCCACGGUGAAUACGUUCCCGGGCCU
rnacentral:rRNA from 1 species